AGAGUUUGAUCCUGGCUCAGAAUGAACGUUGGCGGCGUGGAUUAGGCAUGCAAGUCGUACGCACAGCAAUGUGAGUGGCGCAAGGGUGAGUAAUGCGAAGGUAACCAACCCUGGAGUUGGGCAUAGCCGCGGGAAACUGCGGGUAAUUCCCAGCGAUGUUACGAGGUGGCAUCAUCUUGUAACCAAAGGUGUGAUUCCGCUCUGGGACGGGCCUUCGUGGUAUUAGCUAGUUGGUAAGGUAACGGCUUACCAAGGCUACGAUGCCUACCGGGUGUGAGAGCAUGACCCGGCACACUGGAACUGAGACACUGUCCAGACACCUACGGGUGGCUGCAGUCGAGAAUCUUCGGCAAUGGGCGAAAGCCUGACCGAGCGACGCCGCGUGAGGGAUGAAGGCCUUCGGGUUGUAAACCUCUUUCGUAGAGGAGGAAGGGGCUGUGAAGAGCAGUUCUUGACCUAUUCUAGGAAGAAGCUUGGGCUAAGUUCGUGCCAGCAGCCGCGGUAAGACGAACCAAGCGAACGUUAUUCGGAAUUACUGGGCUUAAAGCGCGUGUAGGCGGAUGGCCACGUCGGUUGUUGAAAUCCCCCGGCUUAACCGGGGAACAGGCACCGAUACGAGUUAUCUGGAGGUGGGUAGGGGAGACUGGAACUUCCGGUGGAGCGGUGAAAUGCGUUGAGAUCGGAAGGAACGCCUGCGGCGAAAGCGAGUCUCUGGCCCCAUACUGACGCUGAGACGCGAAAGCCAGGGGAGCAAACGGGAUUAGAUACCCCGGUAGUCCUGGCUGUAAACAUUGGGCACUGGGUAGUAGACCCGCCGAUGGUUUUACUGCCGCAGGGAAACCGUGGAGUGCCCCGCCUGGGGGAGUAUGGUCGCAAAGCUGAAGCUCAAAGGAAUUGACGG
rnacentral:rRNA from 1 species